rfam:Flavobacteriaceae bacterium CG1_02_35_72 cg1_0.2_scaffold_6196_c, whole genome shotgun sequence.
UAUCUUUGCGCCCUAAUAAUUUAUUACAUAAUAAUCAUUUAAAUAAUAUUGGCAUG